CUUGUUGGAUUCUCAGGCUUAUGCAUUCUCCACUAUACCAUACUGUUUGACUACGGGCCAUCUUCCACCCAGAUAACUGCAAAAGCCUUCCCGACUGGUAAAGCUCACCCUCUCCAUCCUGCAUCCAAUACGUAGCCUAGCCAGAGCAAUCAUCCAAAAACAAACUUCAUUGUGGCACUGCCCUACUCAAAUCCCUUCAAUAAAUUCCCUUUGAUUUUCAAUGGAGUCCAAACUACUUAGCAUUCCCUACAAGGUCCCUCAGGAUCUGGCCCUGUUCACCUCCCCAGCCUCAUCUCAAGCUCCUCUCAUUGCAGGUGACAAUUCAAUGACUCUGAAUAUAUUUAAGUCCCUGGAAUGCACCAUGGAUCAUUCUCGCCUCCAGGCCUUUGCACGUUGUCCCUAAUGCCGGGAGCACUCUUCUCCCUGACCUCCUGACCCCUCCUUUUAGGUAGUCUAGGUAACAGUAGUACUUGUUUCUCACAAAACUUAACACAUUUUAUUGGAAUUAUCUGUAUCUGUUCUGAGAUCCCUACACUUCCUCUACUGUGAGCUAGCUACAGGAGGAAAGAUCCUGUUUCUAUCUCUUUCACUCUUGACUCCACAACACCUAGCACAUGCACUGGUGUAUCUGUUGCUAAACACAUAUGUUUUGAAAUGGAUAAUAAUUUGAUGAGGCAAGAGCCAUCACAAGUUACUAAGUGAAGCUAUAUCAGUGGAAGCCAAACCCAUAACUGACCCCAAAACCCCUACUCUUGACAUCUGCAAUUUACUGUCCAUUGCUGAAGAUUCUUACACAUUCCAAAAAUUGCACCGAUAUUUUUUAGACAUGUGAUAUAUAUGCUUCCUGUGCUCAGAGCUAUAAAUAAUUCCAAGGACAAGGCUCACUUCUUGCCCUAAACCAGCUUACAGUUUAGCGGAGGAGCUUUCAUUUUGCCAACCUGUUGCAACUCACAUUCUCUUUAAGUCCUUUCAAGACUGAGCUGAGAAGGGAUCCUUGACAGUUUAUCAAGAAUUUGGUAACUGCCAACUCACUCCUACCGGUCCACAAGGGGCUUAAUGGCUGAGGCUCAUCACUAUCAUCCCAGUGGUUAGAUAGGGCCUGAUAUAUAAUAACAGGUUUAAAAAUCACCGAAUGAGUGAAAGAAUAAGUGAAUGGGGUUUCCCUGGUGGCGCAGUGGUUGGGAAUCUGCCUGCCAAUGUAGGAGACAUGGGUUAGAGCCCUGGUCCGGGAGGAUCCCGCCCUGGCGCGGAGGGGCUAAGCCCGUGUGCCACAGCUAGUGAACCUGCGUGCCACAACUGCUGAGGCCUGCACGCCUAGAGCCUAUGCUCUGCAGCAGGAGAAGCCACGGCAAUGAGAAGCCCACGCAAGGGAAAGUGGCCCCUGCUCUCCACAGCUAGAGAAGGCCUCCGCACAGCAACAAAGACCCAACGCAGCCAAAAAUAACUAAAUAACUAACUAAAUAAAUAAAUAAAAUAAUGAAUGAAUGAACGAACAAUCAAAUAAAUCAGGUCUUGGAAUAAAGCUUUGGAAACUGGGUCACAGCCUUAGUAGGAGUUCUCCUCCAUCACUAAACAGAUAAAUGACUUGGUGACAAGUCCCCUAAGGAAGAACCAGCCCCUUAGACACACAUACAUACUGGCCAGCCUGCAGAGCCAGUGGAGCAUGGGGGCAGGGAAAAAGAGGAGCAGGGCAGGAUUUUAAAUGAUUCUCUUCUGUGUCCUCAGGUUUAGAGGGGAGAUGCUAUGGGGCAGACACACCCAUGCAGAGUAUUGAGAUGGCUUCACCCAGCCCUCUACAACCCCAAACCUGCUCUCUGAGGCACACCAUAGAGACAAUCAGCAGGUCAUUAGCAAACUGUACAAAUUGCCCUGGACUCAGGAUGGAACCCUGGGGACCUGAAGCCGUAAUUGAGAGAAGAUAUGGUGUUGCUGACAGUUACCUCUGAUGGCAGUUUAAAAAGCUCCUCCAAGGAAGAAGGAUGCCCUCCUAGAACAAUGGUCACACGAAAAAAGCAGAACGAAGAAAGUCAAGACCACGCCUAUCCCAAUCUCUCUCAAAAACUCAGAUACCUAAGACCAUACCAAAUAGGUCCAGGCCUACAGGAAAGGAAACUGAGGCUCAAGAUUAUCCAGCAGUCUGACUCCAGAGCCCUCCGUGGUCACCCCAGGUUCUAAAACUCCUCAGGUAUGGCAGACUACAAAGUGCGUCUUUCCUCUAUAGGCAAUGGGGAGCCAUUAGAGAUUUUAGGUGGAUCCCCUAAAAGUAAGUCUAACAUGUUUUAUGAGAAAAAGACCCCCAUUCUUUGCCAAGCGUUGUGGGUUUUUUUGUCUGCUGAUUCAAUACCUUGAUUACUUCUGGCUGAAUUUGAUUUCUACCUUGUUUAGAAAAUGAUCAGUGACUUUAAAAGGUCCUUUUUUGCAUGUGAAUCAUAAACCCCAGAAUCAGGAAGGAGGUAACAGUGAUGCUGUUUCCAACAAGCAGGAAUGGGUACCUGCCACGUGUUACUCAGAUAUGCUGUACAGAAACCAACGUGAGUUGUCACACUGAGCAUACAUGGUAGGGUCCGUCAUUUAUACCUAUUCUUGUGGGGGUGGGGUCAUAUUUCUAAAUCCAAGUACUUUAAAUCUGAAUACUUCUUUGCUUUUAAUUGAUGGUUUUUAAAGGGCAAGAUUUGCUUAGAACCAUGUUAAAGAUAGAAGAGUGGAGCUACAGUGACCUAAAAUGAUCUAAUUUUCUAGAAAAUUACUACUUUCUGCAAGCUGCAUAAACUUUAAUUAAAAAGACAAGGAGGUCUAUUCUCUCCUUUUACACACAUGUGACAUGCUAGGCUCUUGGGAUUUGGUAAAAGGAAAAGAGCAGAUUGAAGAGAUUAGAAUUUUUAGCAAAACUCUAAAUAUAAUUAAGAUAUAAUGCUGAUUUCCAUCUUUAAGGACUAAGAAGUAACCAACAUUUGUUGCUUUUCCAGAAAGUACUUUUGACUUCAAAAUAUGCAUAAAGUUAGCUUACAAAAUGAACUGUAGAGGCAGGUUAAGUCACAAGUAAGACAAUGCACAAAUCAGCUCAUGUGAACGUGACCACAUGUUUUUCAGCUAAAUAUCACCAAAAUGAGCAUUCCUGGGAUGUUUAAUGCAAUGCUUUAUGUAUCUGUAUCCAAUAAAAUAUCUCUAACAUCCUAUCAAGAAAUAUUGUGGUAGCUUCCACAGCAAAUUUUCUAGAACUUGAUUUUAAUGGUUGCAGGUUUAGAGGAAUGGAUCAGGGAAAAGGGAGGCCACUAAAGUGAGAACAGACACUGAGUCUGAAGAUAACCUCAGCAAUUCACAGGACACAGUCUAUGACCACUAAAGAUUUCUCUGCCUAAAUAAUCCCUCCUGUGGUUCUUUUUCCUUCACCUCCUUUCUCUCCUUGCCCUCUUCCUUCCUGAACUCUCUCUUUCCAUUUUAGUCCUCCUUCCAAGCUGUGCUCCCAAGCUAGUUGUCUAAAAUCACUUUAAAAGGACACAUUUGAUAUAAAGCAGUUUAAUGUACUUUGUCCUACUUGUAAAAGCAUUUGGGUAGCCUCAUUGUCAGUGUGAUUUGGGCUGUCAUGGAGGCUGGCCCGCUGAGGUUAAAUGAAAAUCAACUGUUAUAGGGAUGACUGGAAGGAGGAAAAGUUUUUUAAUGAAUUCAGAUAUCUGCAUGUGUUCCUCCCAUUCUACAAGUUCUGAAGAAAACUGGGUGGCAGCUGUAACUUCAUAAGCUGCCUCUUGCAAUAUAAUGAUGAAGCUAUGACAGAAAACUGAGAAAUAAGGAUGUGUAUAUAGCACAAAUGUUUAUGUAUACAUUACUUUUGUUGAGUAUGUAGCUCAGCUCUACUAACUAAACUGAUUGAUUAACUCUAUUUAUAUACAUGGGAAGUGUUUGAAAAGCACUGUAAAAUUGAUCUGAGUGUAUAUAUGCAAGCAGAGUGAAAUACUGUAUUGUGUGUAUAAAUAUCAGGUAGCAUAAAAUAAAAUACCCCUGUAGUUGUUUGUUUAGGGACACAUUUGGAUUGAAUGAGCAUUAUAACAAGCAUAUCUUUAAAAGCCGCAAAAACAUCACACCUUUUAGUUUUAAUAAAGUCUAGAUUUUGGCAGUUCUUUUAUCACAUCUGUCAUCUCCUAAGCUUUCCUUAGCCAAAGCACUCAGACUUGAAUUUUGAAAUUGUCAGUAUAGGCCUUCUAAUCUUUAAAUCUUAAAUUAUCUAAGCAGAUUAACAACCAUUAUUCUAUGCCUACAGGACUCCAGGGUAAAAAAAGCAAAGGAAAUACAGCUUUUUUUUUUUUUUCCAGGCAAUUAAGCUCCUGUGGAGGUUGCAUUGGGGGCAUGUAUUUGAAACAUGGUCUUAGGUAUUUUUGUAAAUAACCAGGUAAACAAGAUGAGUACCUUAAUUAACUCCAGUAUCCAGAGCUAUAAGACAAAAAAUGGCUCUAUAUAAGAAGCUUAAUCGUCCAGCUUUUAAAUAAAAAGUUAUUCAUAGAUCAUACUGACACUUUCCAAUUUGCCAACUGGCCAUGGUUGUCCUGAAGCCAGGAGAGAUAUCGCGAAGAAAUACUUUAAAAAAAAAAAAAGGAAAAAACAUUAAAGGAGGGGGGCUCCUUUGCACAGUAGUGUCUAUCUGUGUGGUGACCUGAUUUCUGCUAUGAUCUCCCUUUGGAGAUCAAAGCAGGAUUAAUGUGAUUCUUUACUGUUUGCGUUGCACAUCUCAAAGCUCUGGAGACCUAAGCAAUAAGUACAAAUGCAGCCCCAGAACACGGGAAAAACGGAGUUUGAAUGGGGAGGGUUAAUAGCGCAAAGGCUAGCUAUGAAAAGUUAUUUGGGAUUUGAGAAGCAAUACAGAAUUUAGAGUACUUUGUAUUUUUAAGCACACUUGCUUUCUGUUUUUUUUCUGGGGCAAGGCUUUUGGCUAGUUGAUGAGGCCAGCACUGAAUGUCAUAUUAAUAAGUCUCCACAAUGACCUUCUAGCUCAUUUGGAAUGUUUUGCAGCUGCUAGUACACAUGAAAAGGGAAGGGAACCCUGCCGCAUGUUUUCACACGAAAUCACUUUCACCUUGCAACUGGCAUUUACGCAGAGGAUUUAAAAGAGGGUAAAAUCUUUUAAAAUACCAAAAUGUUGAGCUUUUGUGUUUCCACCGCGUGUGGCAUUCCUGGAUAGUGGAAACCCUCAAGAGCGAGUGUUUCUACCAUCUUUCAGAAGUGCUUGUGCUUUGUCGAGGAAAAAGGCAAGUCCCCUAUUCUUGGAAUCUCUGAAUGUAAAGGGGGAAAAAAUCGCUUUCGUUUUUAAUGCUUAGUGUAUACACCUCUUGGAGGGGGAGAAAGAGCUCCCCUCCUCCAAACUUGACUGUGAUUUUUAGCUGCGUUACUUAGAGGAGGGCGCGCCAGAGAGUAGCUCAACGUGCAGUUUUACAGGGACUCGGUACUCCGCGGAGAACCGGAUU